rnacentral:rRNA from 1 species
GCACAAUGGGCGGCAAGCCUGAUGCAGCGACGCCGCGUGCGGGAUGGAGGCCUUCGGGUUGUAAACCGCUUUUGUUCAAGGGCAAGGCACGGUCUUUGGCCGUGUUGAGUGGAUUGUUCGAAUAAGCACCGGCUAACUACGUGCC